rnacentral:rRNA from 1 species
GUGGGGAAUAUUGGACAAUGGGCGAAAGCCUGAUCCAGCCAUGCCGCGUGUGUGAAGAAGGUCUUCGGAUUGUAAAGCACUUUAAGUUGGGAGGAAGGGCAGUAAGUUAAUACCUUGCUGUUUUGACGUUACCGACAGAAUAAGCACCGGCUAACUUCGUGCCAGCAGCCGCGGUAAUACGAAGGGUGCAAGCGUUAAUCGGAAUUACUGGGCGUAAAGCGCGCGUAGGUGGUUUUGUAAGUUGGAGGUGAAAUCCCCGGGCUCAACCUGGGAACUGACUCCAAAACUACUGAGCUAGAGGACGGUAGAGGGUAGUGGAAUUUCCUGUGUAGCGGUGAAAUGCGUAGAUAUAGGAAGGAACACCAGUGGCGAAGGCGACUACCUGGACUGAUACUGACACUGAGGUGCGAAAGCGUGGGGAGCAAACAGGAUUAGAUACCCGAGUAGUCC